CUUUAGCAUGUGCUUUUUAACUUUGGCAUGUAAGCCAUUUUUGAAAGAUUAUUUUCAUAUCACUCAGAAGUUAUUAUUGUUCUGAGCUUAAAUUUGAAAAGAUAUUACACCUGUGAUCUUUUUUCGUAAAAUUAUGGGGUUUAAAGGUUGCCAUUUUGGCCAAUUUGGGACAAUUAACGCGCGAUAUAAUUCGCGCUAUCAAUGCGUGAGCAGAAAUUUAUUCCGUCUUAGAAAUCGCACCAAAUUGGUUCAAAAAAGCUUAUUUGCUACAAUUGAUUUGUUACAAGGAGCAAAAUUUAUCCUUUUGUACUUUAUAUGUCGUCACAAUUACAAAACCUUGUAAGUUAAGCAAAUCAAUUCAACAUAUCAAUACUAUUAACAACUUCUUACCUUCAGUUUUCCCGAGAAAAAAAAGUUAUUCCAAAUGACCUUUUCAAGAAACAUAACACGAGUUUCAGCUAUUAUUGUAUUCCUUUUACUUAUUUGCUUAUUUUUUGUUUCCCAAAAUAAUCAAGUAACAAAGUUAAAGACGUUUCCUCAAAUUUUAUCGCUAAAUCGACUAUAUACUGAAUCGAUCCUACUCAAAGACGAAACUCGUCAGCUGAAUAUAUCAAAGUUUUCACAAAAAAUUCAACCAGUAUUUGUAAACUCAACGCUUGAAACACUUUUCGACCGAAAUCAGAAAUCAUUGUUUGAGUUGGAAUCGCUGUUGACGGAUGGUAUUGCAGUGGGAAAAUUGAGAAUGGAACGCUUGAAAAUUUUUUGUGCUUCUGAAACUUAUCUGAAUCACAAAAAAAGCUUCUGUUGGCUCAAAAGUGAUUGCCCAUUUCAGCAGUUACGGUGUCUAUGAGUGCAUUGUCCCAAAAUCAGGUACUUCGACUCGAAGUUACAAUAUGUACUGGCCGUUCUACCACGGAAACACCACUCCUGUCAGACCCUUCUAUCAUCACAUGAAUGAUACACUUGUGCCGCACAGCAUUCCUAGUCGACUUUCGAGACAGAACAGAACAGGGAUCUUGAUAACUCCCCCCUCCCUCCGCCUUCCCUCUAUGCCACCUAGUGGCGACUUGUUUCAACUAUAAAAAUAAUUCAAUAGUAAACCAGAUACUAAUGCCAAUGCUGUAAGGAAAAAAUAAGAAACUUCAUUGAGCCGAUUAAGAUGAAGUUAAAUAUCGAAAUUAAUUUAGUUACUCAAUCCAAACUGGUCUCUGUUUUGAUCAUAUGCAUAUAUUCUGUUAUCUCGUUUUUUUGACAACAUUUCAAAUUGUUUUUCUUACAAGAUAUUCCAAGAAUAUUGCAAGAUUCUUGCAAUAUAACCUCCCUAUUUCAAGGUUCUUACAAGAUAACGCCUAUCUUGCAAAAACUCAUUAUCAAUAAUCUUGCAAGAUCUUGUAAGAUAACUUUCCUUAAUUGACUAGGGUACCAUCGAACGAAUUUCCCUGCUCCUUUUUACUAAAGGGGUAAAGUUAACAAGAUCCCAAAAAUAGAUUAUCCAUUUGGGUUUAUGUUCGUCCGAGACCCAUUUGAACGUGCUAUUUCAGCCUAUUACAAUAAAGUGGCAACAAAUUUGUUGUUAAGAGGACGAAAUUUCACACUAAGUACUUAUUUCAAGCAUUUAGCCGAGGAAAACGAAAGGAAUUUUCAUUUCGUACCACAAAUGUCUCUUUGUGAUCCUUGCAAACUGAACAUUAGCUACCUAGGACGAACGGAAACAAUACUAAGGGAUGUCGACAUUAUCGUAAACCACAAAACAUCUCUUCACGAAAAAAUUGACUUUUCUUUGGAAAAUAAGAACCAAACUGGUUGGAGAAUAAAGGAGACAAAAUAUCAACCCAGAGAGCUCAUCUACAAUCAGUUAGACAAACAGAUUAUGAAAAAUUUGCGUGGAAGUAUUGGAUCGAUUUUAUGGCUUUUGGAUACAAUCCGCACACUUUUCUUCAAACUUCUGAAAUAAAAAAUUUAUAUUGUGAAUUCUUCAAUGCUCAUUUGGAAACACUAUAAAAAAAUUGUAAAGUUCAAAACUAUCAUGGCGUGAAAUAAAAAUAAAAUUGAUAAGUAUUCUUUGUAAGAAUUGUAAAUAUAAACGAUGUAAUUUUUUUAAUUUCUCAAAUAAAUAAAUAGAUGCAACUAUAUUGACACGAGGGACUUUUAUCUUAAUUUGAACCCCAAAUAAAAAGA